rnacentral:rRNA from 1 species
UACGUAGGGGGCAAGCGUUGUCCGGAUUUAUUGGGCGUAAAGAGCUCGUAGGUGGUUCGGUAAGUCGGAUGUGAAAUCUCCAGGCUCAACCUGGAGGGGUCAUUCGAUACUGCCGUGACUAGAGGUCGGUAGGGGAGUGUGGAAUUCCUGGUGGAGCGGUGAAAUGCGCAGAUAUCAGGAGGAACACCGGUGGCGAAGGCGGCUCUCUGGGACGGUACUGACGCUGAGACGCGAAAGCGUGGGGAGCGAACAGG